rnacentral:lncRNA from 1 species
UCCACCCCUGGCUGGUUUCUGCUUCCACCUGCUGAUCUCACAGAGGUGAGGUGAUAACAGUGAUGAAACAAAAUCUUCAAACCACAGCACACACUGCAAGCUAUUUGGCAUAUGAAGGUCUUGACCUGAGAAAACCAUCUUGGAUAACUGCAGCAAGGAAAAGGAAAAAUGCAACACCUAGGAGAUUUCAGUAAACAGUAGAAUCAUGCCAACCUAAUCUGUGUUAAAAUGCUUGGAAUGUGGGAGCCGCUGAUGAUGCCUCUUGUCUGUGUGUCUGACUGAAUCCUUUCUUUUCUCAGAGCAGCAAAGCAAAGCCUGGGAACCAGGCCAAAUGCCUGCCACUUACCUUAAAUUGAUCAGCCACUUUGAGAUUAAAACCCCUGAAAGCUGCCACACCGUGAAAACAAGGCCUCCUUCACAUUAAAGGCAAAUUGC